UGAGGAAACAUGACCUUCGGCGGGGGAUAGCCGGCCCAACGGCCGGGUAAUACCGCGUACGACCACAUGGGGACAUCCCUGAGUGGUGAAAGCAGCAAUGCGCCGAUGGAGUGCCUCGCGGCCUAUCAGCUAGUUGGUGAGGUAACGGCUCACCAAGGCAACGACGGGUAGCUGGUCUGAGAGGAUGGCCAGCCACAGUUGGAACUGAGACACGGCCCAGACCUNUACGGGAGG
rnacentral:rRNA from 1 species